rnacentral:rRNA from 1 species
AGGAUUAACGCUGGCGGCGUGCCUAACACAUGCAAGUCGAACGAGGUAGCAAUACCUAGUGGCAGACGGGUGAGUAACGCGUGGUCAACCUACCGUUGAGUGGGGGAUAACUAGCCGAAAGGUUAGCUAAUACCGCAUACGUCUCCGAGGGGCAUCCCUUGGCGAUAAAAGGAGCAAUCCGCUCGAUGACGGGACCGCGUCCCAUUAGCUAGAUGGUGGGGUAACGGCCUACCAUGGCACCGAUGGGUAGCUGGUUUGAGAGAGCGACCAGCCACACUGGGACUGAGAAACGGCCCAGACUCCUACGGGAGGCAGCAGUGAGGAAUUUUCCGCAAUGGGCGCAAGCCUGACGGAGCGACGCCGCGUGUGGGAAGAAGGCCUUCGGGUCGUAAACCACUGUCGAAGGGGACGAUAAUGACGGUACCCUUGGAGGAAGCCCCGGCUAACUACGUGCCAGCAGGCCGC